UACGAGGGGGGCAAAUGUUGUUCGGAAUCACUGGGCGUAAAGGGAGCGUAGGCGGGUUCUUAAGUAAGGUGUUUAAUCCCGGGGCCCAACCCCGGACCGGCACUUUAAACUGGGAAUCUUGAAUAGUGGAGAGGUCGGUGGAAUUGGGGGUGUAGCGGUGGAAUGCGUAGAGAUCCCCAAGAACACCAGUUGCGAAGGCGGCCGACUGGACACAUAUUGGCGCUGAGGCUCGAAAGCAUGGGGAGCAAACAGG
rnacentral:rRNA from 1 species